rnacentral:rRNA from 1 species
ACACUGGAAACAGAUGCUAAUACCGGAUAACAACAGAUGAUGCCUAUCAACUGUUUAAAAGAUGAUUCUGCUAUCACUCUUGGAUGGACCUGCGGUGCAUUAGCUAGUUGGUAGGGUAACGGCCUACCAAGGCGAUGAUGCAUAGCCGAGUUGAGAGACUGAUCGGCCACAUUGGGACUGAGACACGGCCCAAACUCCUACGGGAGGCAGCAGGC